CUUCUCUGGAUGUCUUGUAGAAUUCAAAAAAUAUGGAAGGCUUCACAAAUUUGUGUGUCAUCCUUGCACAGGGGCCAUGCUAAUCUUCUCUGUAUCGUUCCAAUUUUAGUAUAUGUGCUGCCAAAGCGAGCACCAUCUUCCUCUUCCAAGGAUUGAGUUCAGGCUGCACCAGGAAACCAACAGGGACACAAGAGGCUCUGCUGCCCUGAGAAUCACCCUUCCCUGUUCAAAGGCACUGAGAACCAUCUCUCCCCAGACUGCACCAUGGAAAAUGCCCCCUCCCACCAUAUAGGAGAUGCAGAGUGGGACAGGCCCAUCAGAUGAUCAACCCAAAUAGGAUACAAAAUGGAACAUACACCACAAAUACAACUUUGCAGAAAUAUAUCUGCCAAUAGACUAACACCAGAAAUGAGCUGAGAAUGAAAAAAGAAACAAAGCUGAAAAUUGAUCCUAUUUGUUUCAAAGUCAAGUUUGCCCUCUUUCAGCUGAAGACACCAACGAGGCAGCGUAAGGUCCCUCCUUCCACUUGUGGGUGGCGUAGAUUCAGAAGGAAAAUACUGUCCCUGGAACUCUCUAAAUGUCCAUUUCACCUGUUAACCAGUGAGAUCUGCUCUGACAUUGGGUCUGUAUUUCUGAGAGAUUUUUAAAAGAAGGAUGGUGGAGACUUCACAUUUCAAAUCACCAGAAAACAUCUCCAAGCUUGCACUGGGAGAAGCCAAGAUGCAGCACCUUUGAAAGGGACCCGGCCAUUAGUGUUGGGAGGGUCUGACCUUGCAUGGGCCAGGAAUAUGACCAGAGUCUGAUGCUGAGCUUUUCAGAUCAAAAAUUCACAUUAUUUCCAGAACAACCAGAUGGCUCUGUGAUGAGUGACAGAUGCUAACUAUAGGGAUGAUACCCUCAUAUACCCCGAAUAGUUCUUACAUUGGAAUAAGGUGAUCAACUUCCUUUACUGGGAAGCUGUUGGUAUAACUGGGAUUCUUACAUUGUUGAAUGCACAGAUUGGCAAAAGCCCCUCACCCACUUAUUACCACAAUCCUUACUGUAAAGUAACAGACUGAUCUUUUCUCUUGUGUGCUAGACUUUUGCAAAUUUAAUUAGCAAAAAGCCAUCCCUGAGAGACUGAGCUAGACUUGUAAAGAAGAAAUAAAGUACUUGACCUGUAAAGCUUGAGUCCUAUAGGUAGUAUGAGAUGCUAACCAGGGAGCUACCCUUGAUAUAUGGAGUCAAAUAAUUGAACUGGAAAGCACCCAACCACCACCUGCAAAAUAGGCCAGUGAGUCUGGGGUGCAUUAGAAACACUUGGAUGUGGAGGUAUAACCAAAGGUGCGGUUAGAAGAGUAGGUGAGAGCACAUCACAGAAAGCCUGGAAACUGAUUUGGUUUGCAUGUUGGGGCACUGGGUGUAUGUUAGCAGAGAAUUACAUAAAAGCAAUUUUCUACUUGAGGAUAAACUCUUUGAGAGACAAGAUGAAAAUUAGAUUGGGUUAGGAAGCAGGGGACCAAUUAUAAGUUUGCUAUAAUAGUACAUGGAGGAGAAGUGAGCUAGGAGUGAAAGAUCUGCCCUAGGAGACAUUUCUGCGGCUCAGGGCCAUACUGAUACUCCUUCAUUCUUUCCUUGUAACAGUUUAAAAGGAGCAGCUGCCUGGGAGGAGACACCCUGCUCUUCCUGGAUUUCUCUGUGUUGUUCAUAAUGAUUUUCAGAAGGCUGCCCUCUUUUCAUAAAGAAGAGCACAGUGGACCCCCUCAGUGAUUGCUUUCCGAGGAAACUGAGCAGAAGGAGGAGGGAGGCCGCUGACAUCUGCAUGACGGACUUGGAAAAGGUCCAGGAAAAGCCAGAGGAUCCCGUGGUGAGGGUUUUCACUUCCAGCCCCUUUCACCUUUGGCGCUGUCCUCCUGGUUCCUGGCAAGCAGUGGAUGAACAGUUCCCGGGUCUCCUGAAGGCUCUUGGACAGCAGUUCGCACUGCUCCGCUA